CGAAAAUUACACAAGGAUGAUACCACUCCAACGAUCAAUCCAGACCCUUUGUUAGUUCGUCUUCUCACCAUUUUUUUCGGUUGCUGAAGCAUGUACCAUUAUUUGUAUUGCGUCAUAUAGCCUUGUCUUGCAAGUUUGUGUUGCAUAACUUGCUUGACUUGGUACUGCCUCGACCUCUUCCAUUCCUAAGCCCAAAGACUGGGUGGUUGUUAGACUGCAUGAUAAAUAUUUUAAGUAAUUGUUUUUUAAUAUUGAUGAUUUGAUAUCCACACCAGAAAAAUGUAAAUGGAUCCAUCUAAAUUAGUCAUGAACUUUGCAUCAAGUUCUAUAUUGAUUUGUAUUUCUCAUUCUUAUGCAGCUAUGUCAUUAUAUUCAAACUUUAGCAUUAGAGAAUCAAAUGGCAGUCAAGUUCUAUGAUUGAUCUAUGUGCUUUUCGUUUUUAUGCAAAUUCAGUGUCAUUCUGUUAAAACUUUAGCAUUAGAGAAUCAAGUUUCAGUCCAAUUGGUAGUUGUCUAAUGUCCGUCUGAUUGUUUUUCUUUUGAUACAAAAAACUAUUGCAAAAGGCACACCACUUGUAAAAAUUAUCAAAGAAAAGAGCUUAAUGGAUAAACAAUAGUAAGUAUGUACCUUUUUCAGUCUUGAAAUCGGCAAAGAGAUGCAGAAGCUUGCUUCUGUUUGAGACAAGAAUCUGUAAUUGAAGUGCAAACAGGUGCAACUAAUAAGAAAGGAAAAAACGCACUGCAUACAAAAUAAAAACAUUGAAGCAACUUAUUAUAAAAAUGAUAAACCCCUAACCUUGCUAAACAAAGUGAAC
rnacentral:lncRNA from 1 species